rnacentral:rRNA from 1 species
UCAGGAUGAACGCUGGCGGCGUGCUUAACACAUGCAAGUCGAACGGAGUUUUUAAACGGAAGUUUUCGGAUGGAAGUUUAAGAACUUAGGUGGCGGACGGGUGAGUAACGCGUGGGUAACCUGCCUCAUACAGGGGGAUAACAGUUAGAAAUGACUGCUAACACCGCAUAAUAUAGCGAAACCGCAUGAUUUUGCUAUCAAAUAUUUAUAGGGUAUGAGAUGGGCCCGCGUCUGAUUAGCUAGUUGGUGGGGUAAAAGCCUACCAAGGCGACGAUCAGUAGCCGGCUUGAGAGAGUGACCGGCCACAUUGGGACUGAGACACGGCCCAAACUCCUACGGGAGGCAGCAGUGGGGAAUAUUGGACAAUGGGGGAAACCCUGAUCCAGCCGACGCCGCGUGAGUGAAGAAGUAUUUCGGUAUGUAAAGCUCUAUCAGCAGGGAAGAUAAUGACAGUACCUGACUAAGAAGCCCCGGCUAACUACGUGCCAGCCGCGGC